rnacentral:rRNA from 1 species
CCCUUAGAUGUUCUGGGCUGCACGCGCGCUACACUGAAGCGUUCAACGAGUAUUCACCUUGCCCGGGAGGGUUGGGUAAUCUUUUGAAAACGCUUCGUGAUGGGGAUAGAUUAUUGCAAUUAUUAAUCUUCAACGAGGAAUUCCUAGUAAGCGCAAGUCAUCAGCUUGCGUUGAUUACGUCCCUGCCCUUUGUACACACCGCCCGUCGCUACUACCGAUUGAAUGGUUUAGUGAGGCCUCGGGAUAUGCGUUGGUAGGCGCUGGCAACAGUGACUCCAAAGCGAGAACUUGGUCAAACUUGAUCAUUUAGAGGAAGUAAAAGUCGUAACA